rnacentral:rRNA from 1 species
AAUGUUAAGUUAGUGGCGGACGGGUGAGUAACGCGUGGGCAACCUGCCCCAUACCGGGGGAUACCAGCCGGAAACGGCUGCUAAUACCGCAUAAGCGCACAGUAACGCAUGAUACAGUGUGAAAAACUCCGGUGGUAUGGGAUGGACCCGCGUCCGAUUAGCCAGUUGGCGGGGUAGAGGCCCACCAAAGCGACGAUCGGUAGCCGGCCUGAGAGGGCGGACGGCCACAUUGGGACUGAGACACGGCCCAAACUCCUACGGGAGGCAGCAG